rnacentral:rRNA from 1 species
UAAGACGANAAGACCCCAUGGAGCUUCAAACCCAACUACACCCCUAGCUCUUAUAGCCCCACAACCCCCCCCCCCCC